CACCAGCGCCCCGAGUGGGGAUCGCGAUUAUUGGGCCUAAAGCGUUCGUAGCAGGCUCUGUAAAUCCUUUGUGAAAUUGUCCGGCCUAACCGGACAGCGCGCAGAGGAGACUGCAGGGCUCGAGACCGGGAGAGGUCAGAAGUAUUCCUUGGGUACCGGUAAAAUGGGUUAAUCCAGGGAGGACUACCAAUGGCGAAGGCAUCUGACUAGAACGGUUCUGACUGUGAGGAACGAAAGCUAGGGGA
rnacentral:rRNA from 1 species